rnacentral:rRNA from 1 species
CGCUAUCACUCCUACGGGAGGCAGCAGUGGGGAAUAUUGCACAAUGGGCGCAAGCCUGAUGCAGCCAUGCCGCGUGUGUGAAGAAGGCCUUCGGGUUGUAAAGCACUUUCAGUAGGGAGGAAGGUAGUGUAGUUAACACCUGCAUUAUUUGACGUUACCUACAGAAGAAGCACCGGCUAACUCCGUGCCAGCAGCCGCGGUAAUACGGAGGGUGCGAGCGUUAAUCGGAAUUACUGGGCGUAAAGCGCAUGCAGGCGGCCUGUUAAGUCAGAUGUGAAAGCCCGGGGCUUAACCUCGGAAUUGCAUUUGAAACUGGCAGGCUAGAGUCUUGUAGAGGGGGUAGAAUUUCAGGUGUAGCGGUGAAAUGCGUAGAGAUCUGAAGGAAUACCAGUGGCGAAGGCGGCCCCCUGGACAAAGACUGACGCUCAGAUGCGAAAGCGUGGGGAGCAAACAGGAUUAGAUACCCUGGUAG